UUGUGAGAAUGAAAGGCUGAUAUUAAAGCAGUGACAUUCACAUUCACACGAUAACUGGUGAAUCCUGCUAAGUUGAUAAACUGAUAAAGCUAGCCAUACCCUAUUGACACGUGGAAGAUAAACCACUCACUAUUUCCACAAGCCCCUCUUCUUAUAUAUCCUCACAUCUCAAGUGAGAGCAGAGCAAAGCAAAGCAAAGAAAAUUUUUGUAAAAAUGGCCAGUAUUUCAGGUACCAUGGUUAGCACCUCUUUCCUCCCAAGGAAACCAGUAGUGACUAGCCUGAAAGCCAUACCAAAUGUUGGGCAAGCUCUCUUUGGUCUUAAAUCUCAGAGGGGUGGUAGGAUUACUUGCAUGGCCAGUUACAAAGUGAAGCUUAUUACACCAGAGGGAGCUGUUGAGUUUGAUUGUCCGGAUGAUGUUUACAUUCUUGAUCAAGCUGAGGAAAUGGGACAUGAUCUUCCUUACUCAUGC
rnacentral:lncRNA from 1 species